GAUGAAGAACGUAGCGAAAUGCGAUAAGUAAUGUGAAUUGCAGAAUUCAGUGAAUCAUCGAAUCUUUGAACGCACAUUGCGCCCGUCAGUAUUCUGGCGGGCAUGCCUGUUCGAGCGUCAUUACGCCCCUCAAGUCCCCUGUGGACUUGGUGUUGGGGAUCGGCGAGGCUGGUUUUCCAGCACAGCCGUCCCCUAAAUUAAUUGGCGGUCUCGCCGUGGCCCUCCUCUGCGCAGUAGUAAAACACUCGCAACAGGAGCCCGGCGCGGUCCACUGCCGUAAAACCCCCCAACUUUUUAUAGUUGACCUCGAAUCAGGUAGGACUACCCGCUGAACUUAAGCAUAUCAAUAAGCGGAGGA
rnacentral:misc_RNA from 1 species